rnacentral:rRNA from 1 species
CCGCACAAGCGGUGGAGCAUGUGGUUUAAUUCGACGCAACGCGAAGACCUUACCAGGUCUUGACAUCCCGAUGCUAUUUCUAGAGAUAGAAAGUUACUUCGGUACAUCGGUGACAGGUGGUGCAUGGUUGUCGUCAGCUCGUGUCGUGAGAUGUCGGGUUAAGUCCCGCAACGAGCGCAACCCCUAUUGUUAGUUGCCGUCAUUCAGUUGGGCACUCUAGCGAGACUGCCGGUAAUAAACCGGAGGAAGUGGGAUGACGUCAAAUCAUCAUGCCCCUUAUGACCUGGGCUACACACGUGCUACAAUGGUUGGUACAACGAGUUGCGAGUCGGUGACGGCGAGCUAAUCUCUUAAAGCCAAUCUCAGUUCGGAUUGUAGGCUGCAACUCGCCUACAUGAAGUCGGAAUCGCUAGUAAUCGCGGAUCAGCACGCCGCGGUGAAUACGUUCCCGGGCCUU